GUAAAAUGGGGUACUAUAAACCCACAACACAGUGCUGUGUCAUUAUUAGACCAGGUGAUGGGAAAGAGAGAGAUGGAGGGGAGGUGGGGGUAAAAUGGGGUACUAUAAACCCACAACACAGUGCUGUGUCAUUAUUAGACCAGGUGAUGGGAUAGAGAGAGAUGGAGGGGAGGUGGGGGUAAAAUGGGGUACUAUAAACCCACAACACAGUGCUGUGUCAUUAUUAGACCAGGUGAUGGGAAAGAGAGAGAUGGAGGGGAGUAGUUGUGUGUGGAUGAUGCGUAGUCGGCAGUGUGCUAAACAGUGAGGACGUUGAUGUGUGGAUUAGAUCAUGAUGGUUGUGAUUGUCAUCGUUUAUCACUCAAAGCCAAAGGUUCAGAUGUUCCCGGGGUUUUCCAUCUGUGUGUGCAGUCAGAUUUUUACAGAGAAUAACUUAUUAUGGUUAGAGGACAGAGAGUCUGCUUCCCAAACGGACCCCUAUUCCCUAUAUAGUGCACUACUUUGAACAGGGCCCUAUGGCACCCUACUCCCUAUAUAUAGUGCACUGCUUUGGACAGGGCCCUAUGGCACACUAUUCCCUAUAUAGGGCCCUAUAUGCCUCUGGUCAAAGUUGUGCACCAUAUAGGGAAUAGGGUGCUAUAGGGCCCUGUUCAACGUAGUGCACUAUAUAGGCAAUUAGGCUCGGGUCUAGAGUAGUGCACUAUAUAGGGGACAGGGUGCCAUAGGGCCCUGUUCAAAGUAGUGCACUAUAUAGGCAAUUAGGCUCGGGUCUAGAGUAGUGCACUAUAUAGGGGACAGGGUGCCGUAGGCCCAUGUUCAAAGUAGUGCACUAUAUAGGGAAUAGGGUGCCAUAGGGCCCUGUUCAAAGUAGUGCACUAUGUAGGGAAUAGGGUGCCAUAGGGCCCUGUUCAAAGUAGUGCACUAUGUAGGGAAUAGGGUGCCAUAGGGCCCUGUUCAAAGUAGUGCACUAUAUAGGGAAUAUGGUGCCAUAGGGCCCUGUUCAAAGUAGUGCACUAUAUAGCGAAUAGGGUGCCAUUUGGGAGGCAUGCGGUCUUUUUCUCCAUGGAGGGUUUACUGUUGAAACCAUCAUCUAGUCCCUUUAGUCAAAACCCUUUAUAUAGAUAUAGGUUAUCCCAUAGUAAUAAUAAUGAUACUGGUACAGAUGUUGUUUUUAUAGAAAUUACAGUAUAUCUAUUGAUAUAGUUGCUGACUUUUAUAUUAUGGGAGAGAUUUAAAAAAUAUAAAAAAAUGUCUAUAUUUACCUUUUGUGUUUCGUUUGUUUUUUUCUCUCCAGAAAUUAUACGACUAUGAUUAUUUGUACCCGAUGAAAACUGAACAAACAAACAAAUAUAUAUAUAUAUAUAUAUACCAACAAUGUAUUAAUGGAGACGUUUGAGCUGUGCAACGAAGGUGUUCUCUUCAAACACAAAAUACACAACUGUAAUGUUUUAGUUGUAGGCUACAACACCAACGGUUUGGGGAAAAGCUUUUCUCGUUGUCUUUAUGGAGUCGUCAUAUCCAGAUGGAUCAUCUACAAGUAAUGCAAUCAUAAUGUACAUACUAUCAUGGUAUUUUUAUGGUCAGCUGUACUAUUUUGCCGACAGACACACACAGCCUGUACACGGUCUUCACUACUACUAGGCUGUGAAAGAUGUCAGUGUCCUGUACGCUGUUGAUGUUUGUUAGUUAGGCUCUUUUUGUUUUUGUUUACAUUGACUUGUCUUUCAUUUGGGUUUUGAUAUAAUUUGUAAUGUGACCUCCUUUGUAAUGUUAUUUUCUAGAACUCAGCCUUUACACUUUGAAAAAAAAACUGUUUGAUUAAUUAGAAAUAUAUAUGACUUGUGAAAAAAAAAAGAUGACGUUUAUGUAAAUAUGAAAAAUUAAGCUGUUGUUGAUUUAAAGUGCUCCAGGGGCGGCGAGAGGAAACGCCCAGCUCACCUCACGUAGCUAAAUACUUCCUUACACCCCUCUUUUCUUCCUGAUAUCCUCCCUCCCUCCUUUCCUCCCUCCCUCCCUCCCUCCUUUCCUCCCUCCCUCCCUCCUUUCCUCCCUACUUUCCUCCCUCCUUUCCCCCCCCCCUCCCUCCUUUCCUCCCUCCUUUCCUCCCUCCUUUCCUCCCUCCUUUCCUCCCUCCUUUCCUCCUCCCUCCCCUCCCCCUCCCCCUUUCCUCCCUCCUUUCCUCCCCCUCCCUCCUUUCCUCCCCUCCUUUCCUCCCCCCUCCCCCCCCAUCCCUCCCUCCCUCCUCCCUGCCUCCUUUCCUCCCUCCUUUCCUCCCUCCUUUCCUCCCUCCUUCCUCUCUCCUUUCCUCCCUCCUUUCUUCCUACACCUUGUUUACAAAUUAACCUGAUCAGAGGUGUUUGUUACAUAUCUCCGUUUUGUAUUUAUACGAAGAAGAAAAAAUAUUCAGAAAUGCAACCCAUGAAAAAGGCAGUGGCAUCUGCAGGUUGUGGGAUUUAGCCCCAUCCUGCAGGUUCUGGGGUUAAGUCCCAUUCUGUCUGCAGGUUGUGGGGUUUAGCACCAUCCUGCAGGUUCUGGGGUUAAGUCCCAUUCUGUCUGCAGGUUGUGGGGUUUAGCACCAUCCUGCAGGUUCUGGGGUUAAGUCCCAUUCUGUCUGCAGGUUGUGGGAUUUAGCACCAUCCUGCAGGUUCUGGGGGUUAAGUCCCAUCCUGUAGGCAGGUUGUGGGGUUUAGCACCAUCCUGCAGGUUCUGGGGGUUAAGACCCUGCCCUGUGUUUGCUGAACCAUUAGUGGGCAUGGCAACACGUAUCCUGGCUACACCACCGCGUGUCUCUGUCCCUACCCUCUACAUCCUCUGCUUCCAUAGGUGUUGUGAUGAGAUACCCCCUCCCCUGUCCUUGUAUGUGCAUGCACUAUGGUUCUUCCACUUAACAAUAACAAUCAAUAAAGUUUGUCAAGAUAAGCA
ensembl:lncRNA